ACCCCCUGAUCCUUUUCGGUAUGGAAAGACGAAUGCAGUAUUUGUUGUGUCUUCUACCUCUAAAACACCCCAUACAUGUCAGAAUGGGAAGGCUAACUUGGAAGGCAAGGAGGGCUCCUCCAAGGACCCUUGAUGAUUUCUCCUACAAGAGUGGGGCUCUGUAGCCCCAUGACAAAGAUCUGUUCCCUUUUAAGCUAAUUAUCAGCUCAAUGGAUCUCCAACUAGUUAUCGAUAAGCAAUGGGGAAAGAAAGAGCUAAGUGGAAUUUGUGGAGAAAGAGAGAAAGAGACAGCAGAAACGGAAGACAGAGGAAGAGGAAGGAAAGAGAGGUCGUUAUUGUCAGCCUUUUAUAUAGCAGUUUCUUUCAUGAUAUCAGGUCUUUAUUUUGGGGAAAAAAAGUAAAAAACCGUCCAGAAUAUCGCCAUUAUUUGGCUAUGCUAUGAGACAGUCGAUGAUUAUGUAACUGGCUACAACCGGACUCCACACAUGCCCAGAACAAAAACAAACAAACUCGUUUGCCAUACAAAUUGUUUACGAUUCAUUAAAAAGCAAAAUUGCAUAUCCCGGCCUUGGCAGCUGAGUCUCCAUGGGCGGAAGGGGCAUUCAGUGAACUCCCUUUGUAUGUUUGCUGGGAGGACCCAACUGAAGUUUCUCACUCUGCAGCGGGGGACCUUGUGCGACCAGAUGAUGCAUGAGGUAAUUUCCAAAGCUUUCUUUGCCUUCCAUGAAAAAGUCUAGGCUUGUACCAUAAUUCUGGCUAAGUUAGAUUUGCUUUAUUGAGGAGUUUUCCCACUAUUUUGGUUUUUUGGUGGUUUUGUUUAUUUGCCUGCUUUUUUUUUUUUCUGAGGGGAGGUAGGGGUGGGGGGGAUGGGUAGAGAGUCAAAGAAGGGGAGAGAGAAGUAGGAAAAAAAUCGGUAAUCUGAAUUGGAUCUUUCAUUUUAAUUGGACUUCUUCUCUUUCCCCAAAGGACUGGAUUUUCCAUCUCUGAUGGGAAAUAUGUAUUGCGAUUAUUUGCAAAGAAUGUUUCCAAAUUGUGAUCCUACAUUGUUAAUUUGAGCUCCAACUCAAUCGAUUUUUCCUUUAAGGCAACUUGUCUAAGUUCCUUAGAGAACUAGCGCUCUGCCUGCUCUCUUGCUCCUUUCCGAACAGCAAUCUCAAUCUCGGGGCACCUCCGAGUUUGGAAGCGAUUCCCUGGAGUUCAGUCUAAACAACAACAUGUGUGGCUCUGGUGGUGUUUAUUUUUGGUCAAGUGCAUUACUAAAUGUUUCCAUCACUUUUAUACUUUCUAGCCCCAGCAGUAAAACAGCUGUAAAAUCAUUUUCAAUGAAAAGCAACUAACUUCCCAGCAAACUUUAGAGAAAGAGAGAGAGAGAAAGAGAGAGAGAGAAAGAAAGAGAGAGAAAGAAAGAAAGAAAGAGAGAAAGAAAGAAAGAAAGAAAGAAAGAAAGAAAGAAAGAAAGAGAGAAAGAAAGAAAGAGGACAGUUGGGCAAGGAUGGAGCCACGCUUGAGGAGCCCCAGCAAAUACCAGGCUGGGAGAUUUCGCUCUAAAGCCGGAAGAGUCUAGAAAGCUCUGACCAUCCGGCAGCGCGCGCUCCUUUUCUUCCCCAAACUUUCCUCCCUGGACUCCUCCGCGGUCCAUUUGCCCUAGAAUUUCCCAAGAAGCACGAGGGAAAGCACAGGGAACAGCAGUGGAGUGAGCAGACAAGGAAAAAUACGCAGCAAGUCCAAGGAGUGGGAAGGACAGUUCAGGCUCCCGCCAAUCUAAUUAGACAAAAGCUGCAUGGAGGAAGGCAACAUUGGCCCGGCCGCCGCCGCCGACGCGGGCAAGGCUUUCCCGAAGAGUUAAGAAAUGAAAAGUAAAACACGCACCCGUCCACAUCCACCCAGAUCCAGACGCGCACCGACACACACACAAGUCCCAGGACGUGCCUACACAAUGCAGCCCAAGCAGCCGCUUCCAUCCUUCCGGAGGUCACUUUUCAAAGUCUCUCAGUGCUCAGAACUCCUCAAAACUUCCCCCCAAGACCCGGAAAAUCAGCCAGGGCAGGACCAGGGAAGGGAAACAGUUUCAGCGGUUCCUACAAUGAAACUGAUCAUGCCUUGUUUUGUAAUUCCAUUCGCUGGUCCCCCGCCCCCCCCAAACACGGCCCCCCCUCUUUUUUUAAACUGAUAUCUAUGUGAAAUGAGCUGGAGUUCACGGUCCAGUUAGGAACGGAUAAUACAUUCAUUGUCCUGGCAGCAAACUUUUUUCUCUCCCUGGAAGAAUUCACGCUUGCCACAAGAAUAAUAAUUACCGAAAAGGAGAAAUGCGCUGCUAACGAAUUAAUCCUUAACGGACACCACCCUAACGAGGGCAGUAAUGACUCGAGGACUCUCCUCCUCACCACAGGACCGGCAGCCCCCGCCACAAUGAGCCAUUGUGCAUCCUCCUGACUCACUCUACCUCUUAUGGAUGCGAGAUGUCAAAGGUUGCCUGGCCUGUCCGACCAUGACAUGUGAGUUAACUCGUUCUGGGGCGCUCUAAGUGAGGACUUGAUUAAAACUUUCAUGGUCCGGCAGAAGAUGGGGGCCCUGGCUGCCCAUGCCUGUGCUGCCGUGGAGGGGGAACCUGCCCGAUUUCCAACAGGCACAGUGGUGGGAAGUCUGAUUUGAGGACCUCACAGGAGAGGAUUUCGGGCCAUCUUCCUAGUGGGACUCUAGAUGAGGAAUCUCACAACAACCCUGUGAUGUACAUGAUAUCAUUAUCCUCCUCUUCCAGAGAAGGAAGGAGGAAGCCAGAGAAGUUAAGUCACUCGAGCAGGGUAACACAGCUAAUGUGUCUGAGGAAGCAUUGGAGACCAGUUUUUCCUGACAUUCAAGGCUAUCAUCAUGGUACCGAGGCUGGACUGCUCAUACAGAUGAAAUCUUACAUCUCAUCUUUAAGGCCUGAAGAAAAAUGAGAUUAAUCAGUUGAUUAUUAUUACAAAUGAUUUAAUUAUUUGCUUUUAGUAGAGCAGUUAUAAGACCUGAGAAGCCAACGAGAAUUGAGCAAGGGGGCAUUUGGAAACCUGGAAGCUGGGAAUUGUUAUCUGUGGAUUUCCUAGAACUGAAAACCUAAAUAUAGCCAGUUCUGGCUUCCAAGUGUGGUUAUUUUAUUUCUGCUAAAAGAAAGACCAGCUCUGUUUAUGAAUAGGAUGGUAGCCUCUUAGCACCCUGGCUUCCUUAGCUCGUCUUACUCCUGCUGAAAAAUCCUAAAUGUAUUAAGAACACAACAGUCUCUGCUCUUUGCCUUAGUCAGAUCACUGUCAUAUCAUUUCCAGUUGUAGAUACCAUAUUUUAAAGGGCAUUGAUUAGCUGGAGAGUAUCCAGGGGAGAGCAUCCGGGUUGGUGAAGGGCUUUGAAGUCAUUCCAUAUCUUGUAGGUCAAAGUAACCAGAGAUGUAUAGCCUCAAGAAGAAAAGACUCUGAGGGUCAUGAAAGCUUCAUUCAAGCAUCUGGAAGGCUUUCAUAUAUCUUCUAGAUACAAGGCUAUUUGGAUAUUGCCUCCCCUAUUAGAUUGUGAGCUCUUAGAAGGCAGGGUCUAUUGGUGCAUGUUUUUGUAUCUCUGGGACUUAGCACAGCACUUGGCAAAUAAUAGGUGGCUAAUAAAUGCUGGUUGAUUUGACUUGGAACAGUGAUUUCAUUUGCUCUGCUUGGACCUGGAAGGCAGAACCAGACACAAUGGGUGGAAAUUACAAAAUGGCAAACUGAGUCAUAUUGCCAAGAAAAUCUUCCUGAGAAUUGAAAUUCUUCUAAAGCGAGAUGGGCUGCCUUGGUAAGUGGUUGUUUCCCUCUCCCCAGAGAUUUUCAAGCAAAAGUGGGAUUCUAUUCAGAUGUGUUGUAUUGAGGCUCCCCCUCUUUUUUUUUUGAGUGGGGUUGGGGUUAGACCAGAUGGCUUUGGAGACCACUUUUGAUUCUGCAAUGAUGUCCUAAGAUUCUCUGCUGUCACUGCUGUAUUCUUGGUAAUGAGCACUUAGAAUGCACUCAGAGCAUUUGAAGACGGAGAAUUCGGCACAGAGACACUCUUCCCCAUAGGCUCAGCAAAGAAGACAUAAAGAGCUGGAGGUCCAAGGGAGGACUUUUUUUUGAACGCCAGCUUUGUUGGUGACGGCUGUCUGUUACCGAGGGACCUGUCAGCUCCUGGGGACAUCCUUCACCAGGGAUGCUAAAGCACAAGGAGCUCAAUGUCAAGAAGGGAUGAGAGACAACACAGAGAACUCGUUGGCUGCUGCCAUUCUGGGGAGGGAAGAUCUGCAGAGCUGACACGAUGGAUGAUAUCGUGCAAAACGCCAGCUCCCUCCCUUGGACGUCCCCCUGGAUUCUCCUGAGAAGUGGCAGGUUUCUGUUGCCUUUCCUAUGGGUGCUUUCUUGCAGAGGCGAACCUUGAUUUUUUCAAAAUACAAACUCACCGGCAGGAUAUUGCAAAAGCAGAUUUUAUUUUUGGGGAGAAAAGUCAGUAGGUCUCUAGUCUUUUUUCCAUUUAGAAAUGGUUUGCAGGAUCAUAAUAGCAGACUUAUAGCUGAAAGGGACUAUAUAGGUUGCUAAUCCCACCCCUUUUAGGUUACAGUUGAGGAAACAAAGGCUCAGAGGGGUUCAUUUGUUUCCUAAGGUCACACAGGUAGACAGUGUCAGAGCCAUGAUGUGAAUCCAGUUGGUCUGACUAGUAGUGAUGACAUUUUACAUGAUGUUUAUCACAUAAUGUUAUUGGUUAUUAUUUUUAUUACAUAUAACAUGUUUAUAUAAAAGAUAGAACAUAUUUAUUCUAUAAUGUUAAUGUAUAGGAAUGAUAAUAGCAUAAUAAUGAUAAUUAUAGUGAGAGCCAUCAUUUAUCAUUUGCAGAGAAUUUUUUAUGUAUUACCUUAUUUGAGCCUUUUAAUAACUUUA